rnacentral:rRNA from 1 species
GACGAACGCUGGCGGCGUGCUUAACACAUGCAAGUCGAACGGAAAGGCCCUGCUUUUGUUGGGUGCUCGAGUGGCGAACGGGUGAGUAACACGUGAGUAACCUGCCCUUGACUUUGGGAUAACUUCAGGAAACUGGGGCUAAUACCGGAUAGGAGCUCCUGCUGCAUGGUGGGGGUUGGAAAGUUUCGGCGGUUGGGGAUGGACUCGCGGCUUAUCAGCUUGUUGGUGGGGUAGUGGCUUACCAAGGCUUUGACGGGUAGCCGGCCUGAGAGGGUGACCGGCCACGUUGGGACUGAGAUACGGCCCAGACUCCUACGGGAGGCAGCAGUGGGGAAUAGUGCAAAAUGGGCGGAAGCCGGAUGCAGCAACGCCGCGUGCGGGAUGACGGCCUUCGGGUUGUAAACCGCUUUCGCCUGUGACGAAGCGUGAGUGACGGUAAUGGGUAAAGAAGCACCGGCUAACUACGUG